rnacentral:tRNA from 1 species
GCUGGUAUGGUGGAAUAGGCAGACACAACAGACUUAAAAUCUGUCGAACGUUAGUUCGUGCCGGUUCAAGUCCGGCUACCAGCA